rnacentral:ncRNA from 1 species
UGUUCAGUUACGAAAUGGGAUUGAAUAUUUCUCCUGCAUUUCUCCUUUGUAGACUUCGCGCCUAUUCUUUUGAGUAGGCGCGUUUUU